CCGGCGACCGGCGCACGGGUGAGUAACACGUAUGCAACCUGCCCUCCGCGAGGGGGAUAACCCGGAGAAAUCCGGACUAAUACCGCGUGGUACAUCUGGUGGGGCAUCCCACGGGUGUUAAAAGGAAGCGAUUCCGGCGGAGGAUGGGCAUGCGGCGCAUUAGCUAGUUGGCGGGGUAACGGCCCACCAAGGCGACGAUGCGUAGGGGUUCUGAGAGGAAGGUCCCCCACACUGGUACUGAGACACGGACCAGACUCCUACGGAAGGCAGCAG
rnacentral:rRNA from 1 species